rnacentral:tRNA from 1 species
GGGAGGGUGGCUCAGUGGUUAGAGCCUAGGGCCCGUAACCGAAAGGUUCCGAGUUCGAAUAUCGCAAGAGGCA